rnacentral:rRNA from 1 species
CGGUAUAGUGACCGUGCGAAGGUAGCAUAAUGAUUUGUUCUUUAAUUGGGGACUGGUAUGAAUGGUUGAACGAAAGGCAGACUGUCUCUUAUGCAUAUAUUGAAUUUAACAUUUGAGUGAAAAGGCUCAAAUAGCUCAGGGGGACGAUAAGACCCUAUAAAUCUUUAUUCUAUUAGUGAAUAACAUUGAAAAUUAUAAUUUAUAAUUCUAUGUUAUUUAACUUUGGUAUUUGGUUGGGGCGACAGGAGUAUAAAUAAAUAACUGCUCUAAAUGUUUAGUUAGUUGUAGCUAAAUUGUUAAUAAGUGAUCCUUUAUUAUGGAUUAUAGAUUAAGUUACUUUAGGGAUAACAGCGUAAUCUCGCCUGAGAGUUCAUAUCGAAGGCGGGGCUUGCGACCUCGAUGUUGAAUUAAAGGUCCUCUACGGUGCAGGAG